ensembl:snRNA U4 U4 spliceosomal RNA
AUCUCUGCGCAGUGGCAGUAUCGUAGCCUAUGAGGUUCAUCUGAGGCGUGAUUAUUGCUAGUUGAAAACUUUACCCAAUACCCCGCCUAGACGACUUGAAAUAUAGUCGGCGACGGCAAUUUUUGACGGUCUCUACGGAGA